rnacentral:rRNA from 1 species
UACGGGAGGCAGCAGUGGGGAAUAUUGCACAAUGGGCGAAAGCCUGAUGCAGCUAUGCCGCGUGUAUGAAGAAGGCCUUAGGGUUGUAAAGUACUUUCAUCGGGGAGGAAAAACAAAACUAAUAAUUUUAUUUCUUGACGUUACCCGAAAAAGAAGCACCGGCUAACUCCGUGCCAGCAGCCGCGGUAAUACGGAGGGUGCUAGCGUUAAUCAGAAUUACUGGGCGUAAAGAGCACGUAGGUGGUUUUUUUAAGUCAGAUGUGAAAUCCCUGGGCUUAACCUAGGAACUGCAUUUUGAAAACUGAAAUACUAGAGUAUCGUAGAGGGAGGUAGAAUUCUAGGUGUAGCGGUGAAAUGCGUAGAUAUCUGGAGGAAUACCUGUGGCGAAAGCGGCCUCCUAAACGAAUACUGACACUGAGGUGCGAAAGCGUGGGGAGCAAACAGGGAUUAAGAUACC